rnacentral:rRNA from 1 species
UACGUAGGGUGCGAGCGUUGUCCGGAAUUAUUGGGCGUAAAGAGCUUGUAGGCGGUUUGUCGCGUCUGCUGUGAAAUUUCGGGGCUCAACCCCGAACUUGCAGUGGGUACGGGCAGACUAGAGUGUGGUAGGGGAGACUGGAAUUCCUGGCGUAGCGGUGAAAUGCGCAGAUAUCAGGAGGAACACCGAUGGCGAAGGCAGGUCUCUGGGCCACUACUGACGUGAGAAGCGAAAGCAUGGGGGAGCGAACAGG